GACCCGGUCCCCGAACAGUCUCCGUAUGGUGUGCGUUCCUGUCCAGGCGGCAGGAUAGGGCCCGGGUCGCCC
rnacentral:ncRNA from 1 species